rnacentral:rRNA from 1 species
UACGUAGGGGGCGAGCGUUGUUCGGAAUUAUUGGGCGUAAAGGGUGCGUAGGCGGCUUUGCAAGUCGGGUGUGAAAUCCCCAGGCUUAACCUGGGAACUGCAUUCGAGACUGCAUUGCUAGAGUAUGGGAGAGGGAAGUGGAAUUCCGGUGUAGCGGUGAAAUGCGUAGAUAUCGGAAGGAACAUCAGUGGCGAAAGCGACUUCCUGGACCAAUACUGACGCUCAUGUGCGAAAGCGUGGGGAGCAAACAGGG